rnacentral:lncRNA from 1 species
UAGGAUUCUGCAACCACCAAAAUGAGAAGAUUCUUGUAUACGAGUACAUGUCCAAUGGAUCUCUAGAUAAACACCUACAAGAUGGUGAACUAUCAUGGAAGAAGAGGCUAGAGAUAUGCAUAGGAGUAGCACGUGGACUACACUACCUUCACACUGGAGCCAAGCGUUCCAUCUUUCACUGUAUCCUCGGUCCUAGUACCAUCCUUUUGGAUGACCACAUGGAGCCAAAACUCGCUGGUUUCGGUGUUAGCGUGCAGGGAUCACGUUUUAUGCCAAAGCAGAAGCAAAUCAGUGUAGAUCGUGUUUUGGGUAAUUUUUGUUUUGUUGUAUAUGAGCUCACUCACUGCAAUGCAUUUUUGUGGAUCAAACUAAGCCAAUACUCUUUGUUGUAGGUACUUGGGGCUACACGACUACGGACUAUGUCAUGGAUGGUACCAUCACAGCUAAAUGGGAUGUUUUCUCAUUUGGUUUCCUUCUACUAGAAGUUGUGUGCAGGGGGAUGUUUUAUUUAAUAAGCCUUACUGAAAAAGAAUGUCUCGAGAACCCUGUUGAGGAGGGACUUGACCCGAUUAUCAAAGGAAAGAUUGCACCAGAUUGUUGGCAAGUGUUUGUAGAUAUGAUGGUAACUUGCUUGAAUUAUGAACCAGAUGAGCGACCAACAAUUGGUGAAGAGGAGGUGCAACUUGAGCAUGCUCUAUCCAUGCAGGAACAAGCUGAUAUCACAAACUCCAACUCUGAGUAUACCUUACUGUCCAAAACCAUUAUUUCCCUGGGAGUGAAACAAUUUGAUACUGAAAAAAUUCUCUGAAAUUGAGUUAGUGUUUUUAGUCAAAACAGUUAGAGUAAGCUGAAAUAUUAGUUUAGAACGUGUAGCUUUUGCUGUGAUACAUGCUUCCAGCAUUUUCUAUUUUUAUGUCAUAGAAUUCAAUAAUAUGUUAUAAUUAUUUAGAAUUGUUAAAUGUUGUAAUAUCGAACAUGGGUUGUCAAAAUAGGUUUUUCGUUUUAACAGAGGCUCUCAUCUAUAAUCGUGUAUUAGUAACUAAUUAGUAAUGAUAGAAACUCCUUGCUGAUUCAGGCUUUAAAUUGUUCUAUCUACUGUCUCUGUUUUAGCCUAGUUGGAAUUACUUGCCACCAACACUUUCCCCUUAUACUAACUUUUAAGUAUUAAAGUAAAUGCUUGAUCUUAAAAAAGGCAUCUGGUCGAACCAACAUUAUUUACAGCUGAUCUUUUCAAUUUCAAAAAUCUUGAGUGAAAUUUAAUAACUAUAUUAACAACAGAAAAGUCAGUUUGUAACAUGUCCCAGUAGCAUACAUCUUAAAAAUGUGUGACCAUUAAAUAAAGUACUUAAACACUUGUCUUUAGUUUUGAUUUUUUUAAUGGAUAAAAGGAUAUGUAUUUAAAAUAUUAACAGUCUUACCUUGGAAGUACCCCAAUUUGCUUAACUGUGAAAAUUGAAGGGAAGUAGAGGUGAAAGAUGCUUCAAGUAUGAACCUGAUAAAUGGACCAACUUUGAGUGAAUUAGAAGUGGAACUUCAGCAUGAUCUGUAGCAGGAACAAACUGAUAUCACAAACACCAAUGCUGAUGAUUAUAAACCCCCAAAAAAAAAACUUAUUUUUCAAAACCAUUAUUCACCCAAAACUGGGAAUUUGAGCAUGCUCUGCCAUUGCACCAACAGGAUUGUUAUCUUUGAGAUUUCCUAUUAUUUAUUUCUAACAUUUGGUACCUUCCUUUUGAUUGGUCCUUUUUGAUGAGAUUCUGUAUAUUCUCCUUACUGUUUUACAUCAGUUUUUCCUUGCUUAUAACACCACCAUUGUAUGAAUCUAUAUAGUAAGACAAAGUAUUAUAAUAUAAUUCUUUGAACCAAAAAAGUUAGCUAUGUGGAAAUAAACACUCACUCUAUUUAGGCUCAAUUUGAAUCCUCCCACUUUAUGAGAACUUCUAAGAUAAAUUAUUUUAGUUCUAGAAAAGUUUACUUAUAUAAGUUGAUUUUAACUUUGAUUUAGUUUACCUUCUUAAUUUAUUAAUUAAUUGUAUUCUUUUUUCCUAUAAAUAACUUUUGGGGUAUAAUCUUUAUCUGUCUUUUUUAUAAGAAAAAAGGAAGAAAAAAACUACCUGUAACACAAUGUUUCCACAAAGGCAUUGGGAAUUGGCUCAACAGCAAUCCAUUCCCCAUCUUUCCAAUUCUCAACCACAUGUUUGGUGGCUCUUCCACUAUUUGUGUAGAGCUUGCACCUUCCAUUUGGAUCCUUAGUGUCGUUUAUCUUUUCAUCCUAAGGCAUGCCAUGGAAUUCUUUUGAAAAUAUUCCGUGUAGCAUCCACUAUAUCCUUAGAAACUCUAUGGUUGAUAACCUAGCAAGUUUAUCACAGUUUCAGAUUAACCAAAUAUACAUACAAGCACACAAAAUCAAGGCCAAACAUCUAAGACUAUAUAAAAUGUGUAGUAUUUCUCAUAAGAAACAAUUUAUUGGCCACAGCAAGUUAUAUAUAUAUCAGACAACACCAAAGAUAUCCAUCACGUGUGUUCAACCAAUAUAGUGGCACAUAUGCUGUUAGGAACUAUAGUAACAGAAAAAUGCUAAAUGAUUACACACAUAUUUAUAGGUAGAUUGGAUGCCACUGCAAAAGAAAAAACAAACAAAUAUAACCAUUUGAAGUAAUAAAAAAUUGUAUUGCAUUAUAAAACAAAAUUUACAAGAGAGUCUUUAAAAUAAUAUAGUAUAAUAGAACCAUUGGAAGUGGAGAUUUCUGUCGUUGAUGGGAAGAAUAUGUAUAAUUAAAUCAGUUUUAACCGCUAUUCCUCUAUUCUCUUUAUCCUAUUUUAAAUCCUCGGAGUCGGUUUAGGCUUGGGGAAGGAUAGCAGGUAAAUGUCUUGGGUAAGUUGGGAGAAUAUGUGUAAACAGUGGAGGCAGACGGUUUGGGAGUUAAAGAUAUAAGAAAGUUCAAUGGAGUUGUUCUAACUAAAUGGAAGUGGCGAUUUGUAGGUGAAGAAAAAGGGUUGUGGAAGAAUAACCUAGUAUCUAAAUACGACCCCUUUUGAAAAAUCAAUCCAGGUGGUGGAGAGAUUUAUCUAAACUAUGUGACCAGGGGGAGGAGAAGGGUGGUUCUAAGAAGCUCUGGAAUGGAAAGUGAGUUGUGGAGACAAAGUUAGAUUCUGGGAGGAUGUUUGGGUGGGCGGAAAUAAACUUAGUUCUGUGUAUCCUAGGUUGUUCACCCUUGGAAAGGAUCAGGGGCUAACAGUGAGCGAGGUGGGCGUAUGGGAAGACUCGGCUUGGAUCUGGAAACUAAGAUGGAGGAGGGUUAGGUUUGAAUAGGAAGUUGUGCAAGAAGCGGAAAUGCUUUGGUCUUUGUCAGGGGGCACUCUGAAUAGGGAGGCAAAGGACACACACUAGUGUGGAGAGGGAAUGCAAUAGGAAGAGUUUUCUGUGAAGUAAGCUUAUGAACGUUUUUCUAACUCUUACAUAAGUCCUCCUAACGGGCUGUUCAAACAGUUGUGGCAAUCUAAAGCAAUGCUCAAAGUCUGGACAACUGCUUGGAGGGUUCUGUUAGAUAGAAUUCCAACUCGUUCCAGCUUAGUCAGGAGAGGAGUUUUGGUUAAUUCAACUAGUUGUGCUCUUUGCCAUGUUGUUCAACAUCUAUUUAUAGAGUGUCCCAUAGGACAAAUAGUGUGGUCUCUCUGCUUUAAGUGGGUAGGUAUCCUGUUCUUACAACAUAAGUUACUUCGAGAACUUCCCCUUAGAAGAGUUGAGUUCAAAGCAGAACUUGGUCUGGAAAAUUAUGUGGGGGACAAUGGUGAGACGACUAUGAGAACAAAGAAACUCUAUUAUUUUUAAGAAGGGUUCCUGAUGCGGAAGAAAUCUUUCAUAUGACACAGCUUAAUUCAUGGUUGUGGUUUGAAACAUAAGACUCGCUCUUUCAAUUAUUCUUUCUCGGAUUGGCCUAAAUCUGAUCCUAUCCAUCAAAAGUCAAAUGUAAAAGGAGGGGAAGCCUGUUUGGGAGUGCAGUCAGUCGGCUAAAUGAAGUUUGAGAUGGGAGGACAAGGCAGAGGAAGGAAUAGUAGAGAUAGUGCAGAUCAUCAAGCAGGGAGAUGUAGGACCUGCUCUUGCUCUGAGCAGUAUAGAAAGGUAUCUUGAUCAGGAGGACUUGGAAGAUGGCUUGCUGUGAGGUGCUCUAGUGAAGGCAAAGGUGUUGUACUUGCCAAAACCGUUUUCGGAGCUUUAUUGGAGGUGUAGCAGAGAGUGUAUGACAGCUGUAAGGAGAUACAGCAGCACCGUUUAUGCAGUAGAGGAAUUGUUGUAGACGCUUUGGAAAGGUCACCUUGUAGCUUCUUGGUGGUGCUGCAGGACAGAUUCUAGGGAGAGCGCUGUAAUGGUAUCUGUGCUAGUGCUAGAGGUAGUCAAAGAGAUGCAUUUAUAGAAGGAAGUGUGAAGAGCAAACAAUGUUUUAUAGGGUACUUGAAAAUGUGUGUUCUGGUAUAAUCUGCAUAUUUAUGCAAUGAGGCAUUGCUUGAAUAUGCUUGCGUCAUGCAGCAUGCUAGUCUUGUUCUUAUGGACGCUUGUGGUAUUCUUAAGUGCCUUGCUAAUGCGAAUCUUAGGUAGCAGCUGGUGCAGUUUUGUAUAUUUGGCAUUGUGGAUCCCUGAUUAUGGUGCUUAAGCCAAGGCUGAGGCUAUGUUGUUAACCUGUAAGGGCCAAGCCAGCAGGUUCUGUUCUGGUUUUUUGCUUUCUAUGCCUAUUUCUGUUUUAUGCAGCAAAAGGAACCUUGUGAGCACAUGGGAAGUAGUACAAAUAGCUAUGGCUAGAGAGGAGGUGGCUCAAGACUUCACCAGCAUAGACUGCGGAGCUCAAGCAGAUGUGAGAUAUACUGAAAUAUCCACAUACAUAGAUUCUUUUCAGAUGCAAAUUUGUUAACUGGUGUGAAGAUUCUUGGAAAAUUGGAAGUUCUUAUAAGGAAGUGAAGAGCUCGGUUUCUGAAGCAUGAUUGCAAAGUGUUGUGUCAUAGAAUCAAAUCACGGUGGUUUGAUAGCUGCAGCAGGAUGGAUAAAAAAACCUUUGGCUUUUGCUUUUGAACCUCGUCAAUACCUCUGUUGAGGGACUUUUGAGGUCUUGAAAUCACAUCAGCAGCAUAUAGGGAGUUACAUCAGAAGGGUGUAUGGCUGUUCUUAUGUAGGGGAUGUGGCCAAUCAAUUCUGCAGGUGCUGUUUUGGUGUAGGGUAAUCGGUGUAUGGCUGCUCUUAGACAAAGGAUGUGGCCAAUUCUGCAGGUGCUGGCUUCAUGCAGGUUAAUCUGAAGCAGGGGGUUUUCACCAAUUCUGCAGAUGGGAAGGACUCUGUGAUGUGGUCUUUUGGCUUUAAGUUUAGGGUUUAGGCUUUAAUUUAUUUAUUUUUUGAGUCAGUGUAAUUUACAAAAUAUAGAACACAUAGUUACUUAUUAUAAAUAGAAUUCAGAUUUAUAUGAACAAGUUGAAUUUUUUUUACUAAAAAAUGUCAAUUUUAAAGAAUUUAUUUUUUAUUUUUAUAAUUAUAAUAAAAAUUUAUAUAAUAAAUUUAAAUUAUUAAAAAAUCAUUUUAUUUACUUUUUAAAAUUUUGUUGAAACCGUGUUAAAAUUUUCAUAAAUAUAAAAAACAAUGUCUUUUGAAAUGGAGAUUUUAACCACUCGUGUUUUAUAAGUGUUGUGUGUUCACUGUCGGAAACAAGGACACGUAAGAAGAAAACGCCGCCUUAUUAAAAACUGCAGGAGAUCUUAUUUGGGGAAGAUUCCAACCCAACCUUAAAUAUGCAUGACAAGCCAAACGAUUGAGGAGCAACAUAGUUCAAUGUGUAUGGUAAGUGACAAGUGAGAACUACUUAAGCAAGAAGGUGUCACAAAUUGGAACUAUGUUUCUGAAUUGUGUGGGCAUGUGUUGUUCGAAGCCCACAACAAAUACAACUUCAUCUCAGAGACAGUUUCCAACGUUGAUAGAAGAGCUGUGCCAUCAAUUUUCUCUCUCCGAUCUUAGGAAAGCCAUCAAUAACUUUGAUCAGAAGAGAGUAAUAGGAAGUGGAUUUUUUAGUGAAGUAUAUUAAGGGUGUCUGCAGCAUGAUGGUGCUUCUGAUUACACGGUCGCAAUAAAGCGAUUUCAUUAUCAAGGAUGGGAAGCGUUCAACAAGGAAAUCGAAUUGCUAUGCCAGCUUCGUCACCCUAGAUGUGUUUCUCUUAUAGGAUUCUGCAACCACCAAAAUGAGAAGAUUCUUGUAUACGAGUACAUGUCCAAUGGAUCUCUAGAUAAACACCUUCAAGAUGGUGAACUAUCAUGGAAGAAGAGGCUAGAGAUCUGCAUAGGAGUAGCACGUGGACUACACUACCUUCACACUGGUGCCAAGCGUUCCAUCUUUCACUGUAUCCUCGGUCCUAGUACCAUCCUUUUGGAUGACCAAAUGGAGCCAAAACUCGCUGGUUUCGGUGUUAGCAUGCAGGGAUCACGUUUUAUGUCAAAGCAGAAGCAAAUCAAUGUAGAUCGUGUUUUGGGUAAUUUUUGUUUUGUUGUAUGAGCUCACUCACUGCAAUGAAUUUUUGUGGAUCAAACUAAGCUAAUACUCUUUGUUAUAGGUACUUUUGGCUACCCGGCUACGGACUAUGUCAUGGAUGGUACCAUCACAGCUAAAUGGGAUGUUUUCUUAUUUGGUUUGCUUCUACUAAAAGUUGUGUGCAGGAGCAUAUUUUAUUUAAUAACCCUGACUGAAAAAGAAUGUCUGGAGAAUCCUGUUAAGGAGGGAAUUGAUCCGAUUAUCAAAGGAAAGAUUGCACCAGAUUGUUGGCAAGUGUUUGUAGAUGUGAUGGUAACUUGCUUGAAGUAUGACCCAGAUGAGAGACCAACAAUUGGUGAAGUGGAGGUUCAACUUGAGCAUGCAGGAACAAGCUGAUAUUACAAACUCCAACUCUGAGUAUACCUUACUGUCCAAAACCAUUAUUUCCAUGGGAGUGAAACAAUUUCAUACUGAAGAAAUGUAAGUGACCAGAUCACUGAAAUUGAGUUUAGUGUUUUUAGUCAAAACAGUUAGUAAUCUGAAAUUUGUUUAGAAUUUAGAUACUUGUGUAGCUUUUGCAGUGAUACAUGCAUCCAGCAUUUUCUAUUUUUAUGUCAUAGAAUUCAAUAAUAUGUUAUAAUUAUUAAAUGUUAUAAUAUCGAACAUGGGUUGUCAAAAUAGUUUUUUCGUUUUAACAGAGGCUGUCAUCAAUAAUCGUGUAUUAGUAACUAGUAAUGAUAAAAAUUCCUUCCUGUUUGAGACUUUAAACUGUUCUCUGUACUGUCUCUGUGUUAGCCUAGUUGGAAUUACGUGCCAAUAUUUUCCCCUUACACUAACUUUAAGUAUUAAAGUAGAAUAAUUGAAGUGGGGAGAGGAAGAAUAAUUGAAGAGAGAGAUAAUGGGGACAGAGGGAGAGAGAUGUUACAAAUAGUCUUAGAGAGAGAAAAACAAGCUCAAAUUGAUUUUAUGUAUUGAUUUGAUUCUCACAUGCUUGAUCUUUUUUAAGGCAUCUGGUCGAACCAACAUUAUUUACAGCUGAUCUUUUCAAUUUCAAAAAUCUUGAGUGAAAUUUAAUAACUAUAUUAACAACAGAAAAGUCAAUUUGUAACAUGUCCCAGUAGCAUACAUCUUAAACAUGUGUGACCAUUAAAUAAAGUACUUAAACACUUGUCUUUAGUUUUGAUUUUUUUAAUGGAUAAAAUGAUAUGUAUUUAAAAUAUUAACAGUCUUGGAAGUAGAGGUGAAAGAUGCUUCAAUUCAAGUAUGAACCUGAUAAAUGACCAACUAUGAGUGAAGUAGAGGUGGAACUUCAGCAUGAUCUGUAGCAGGAACAAACUAAUUUCACAAACACCAAUGCUGAUGAUUAUAAACCCUAAAAAAAAGCUUAUUGCUCAAAACCAUUAUUCUCCCAAAACUGGGAAUUUAAGCAUCCUCUCCUAUUGCACCAACAGGAUUGUUAUCUGUGAGAUUUCUACUAUUUAUUUCUAACAUUUGGUACCUUCCUUUUGAUUGGCCUUUUGAUGAGAUUCUGUAUAUUCUCCUUACUGUUUUACAUCAGUUUUUUUGUUGCUUAUAACGCCACUAUUGUAUGAAUCUAUACAGUAAGACAAGUUAUGUUAUUUAAGGUUUAAACAUUUUAAGAGUUAGAUGGCUGCUGUUUGACUCAACAUAAGCAUAAAGUAUUUAGUUGAUAAACAAUCGUGAAAUUUAUCUAAUGUUAUUAUAUGUAUCAAGAUGGACUUUCGUUGUUGGAUAAAAAUAAAAGUUUUAACAACUCACUUCCCUAUUCCCACAGAAAAGUAGUUAUUUUCUGUCUGAUUUGCAAACUCUACUUUGCAACAGGUUCAUCUAGUUUCUUCAAGCAGUCAAUAUAUCUGUCUCAACUAUUACUGAAGGGAACUUUGUUUUAGUUAGCUUUAAUUGUAUACUUUAGUUAGCCUUAAUAACAAAGAAGAAAGCAUAUUGUGAUAUGUUUUCCAAAUCUGCACAACAAAACAUAUUUCAUCAUAUGCAUUUGAUUUUUGGUUCACCAGAAUGCCAAGAUUUCACCUUAUACUAAUGUUCGGUCUGAAAAUUAAAAAGUCUGAACAAUAACUAUUUCUGUCAAGAUCCAAUUUAUCAUUUGAUUUAGUCACAUGCACAGAAAUAGGAAGAUUUGAAUAAAAAGAAAACAUGAAAUGAUUGCAGAAAUGGGCUCAGGGAGUUAAGUCAAAGAGAGUUCUAGGCGAUCCCAAAUAAGUUAACGCCCCUACGACACUUUGCAGGGACAACAAGCCAAAAAAUUGUAAUUAAACCAAAGCGAGUGACUACAAAAGGCAAGGGAGUUAACCAAAUCUAAACAAACACUUGUGAACAAAAGUUGUUAUAUAAAUAGAAUGCUUAUUGAAGGUUUAUUAAGAGUAUUUAGUAGUGUAUACAUUUGACUUUUGUAUUUGUAACCUACAUAGAGUUCUAAUAAUUAUUUUUAGUCUAUAAAAUAUCUUUGAACUUGGCAUCAAAAAGCUGCAAAACUUACAUUCAAAACCACAUUUUCACUUUGCCAUUCAUUUAACAUCUCCAACAUUUGUUAAAUGUUGGAGAUCAGUGUGAUCAGUGAUCAUUUGUAUAAUAUUAUACAAAUGGGUGAAGUAGAGGUGCUACUUGAGCAUGCCCUUGCAUUGCAGAAACAAGCAGAUAUCACAAACACCAAUACUGAUGAUUAUACUUUACUGUCCAAAACCAUUAUUCCCCAUCCUGCAACUAAAAUAUAGGUUUGUGUUUUGAAUCAAAAUAGUCAGAGUAAGCUUUUGCAGUGACUUUUAAUUUGAGAUACUUGUACCUUUUAUUGUGAUAUCACUUUCUAGCAUUUUAGUUUUACCAGAGACUGUCAUAGAAUCGUUGCAAUGAUCCUCUACUGGUGUAAAAUUGAAAGAAAUGCAGGAAAUUUAAUAAGAACAGAGUAAUGAUAAAACUCCCCUGAUGGAGUCUAUAUGAUUUGCUCUUCCUCUUGUAGAUGCCCUCACUUCCAAACUAACCACUGAUACAUGCAACACAAUCAUAUAGAUGAACUAUGCUACUAAAGAUUUAAUAAAACAUUUGGAGGGUUAGAUGAGUGGGAUGAGAUUCAACCUCAACACAAAAAUUAUUUAUUUGAUAAACCCAUCAUCAAUCUUAUCUAAUAUUGUUAAAAGCUAAAUUUUAAAAGCUCAUCCCCCCUGCCCUGCGAAAUGUGAUUAUGUUGGAACUGGAGACAAUCACAGAAGACAGUGAUAUUGAAGAAGUGGAACUGGAAAUCAUCACAGAAGACAGUGAUAGUGAAGAAAUGUAACGAAUUCACACCUAAUUUAAGCUGAAAUUAAGUUUAGUGUUUUUGAAUCAAAACAGUGACAUCUGCAGAGAUCAAGUUUAAUUGAGAUACCUGUACCUUUUAUUGUGAUCUCUGUUUCUAACAUUAUCAUCUUACCGGAAGCUGUCAUGGCAAUAAUCUGGUACUAGUAUAAAUUUGAAAGAAUUGCCAACAAAAUCAAUAAUGAUAGCACUCCCUUGCUUCAGUCUGUAAUUUUUGCUCUUCUUUUUCUAGGAACCCUCACCACAUAACCAGUCACUGAUAUAUAAAGCAAAAUCAUACAGAUUGCAGCAGAGUGUAGGGAACUCUCUAUAGAUACCAUGAUAAAUUGCUUUUAAGUACGGAUCGGAUAAGCCACCAACAGUAUGUCAAGUAGAGGUGCAACUUGACCAAUUGUGAUUAUACUUUAUUGUCCAUAACCGUUACCUGAAAAAGUGUACAACUGGGUACAAUGAAGGGGUAAAAACGGCAAUCAAAGAAAUAGUAUUUUGACUGAUACCUUUAAUUUUUCCCUUGCCAUUAUUAGAGUAGAUGAAUCUACCAAACCAUAUCUAGGACCAUAUUGGAUGAAUUUCUGUAUAAAUAUUUCUAGAAAAAAAAAAUCUUUGAACUAGCAGUAGUUUUUUCACAUCUUGACUAAGUCAGAGUUUUAUAUGCAGGCCUUGGAUCUUAUUUGGGGAAGAUUCCAACCCAACCUUAAUAUGCUUCACAAGCCAAACAAUUGAGGAGCAACAUAGUUCAAUGUGUAUGGUAAGUGACAAGUGAGAUCUACUUAAGCAAGCAAGGUGUCACAAAUUGGAACUAUGUUUCUGAAUUGUUUGGGCAUGUGUUGUUCGAAGCCCACAACAAAUACAACUUCAUCUCAGAGACAGUUUCCAACGUUGAUAGAAGAGCUGUGCCAUCAAUUUUCUCUCACCGAUCUUAGGAAAGCCACCAAUAACUUUGAUCAGAAGAGAGUAAUAGGAAGUGGAAUAUUUAGUGAAGUAUACAAAGGGUGUCUGCAGCAUGAUGGUGCUUCUGAUUACCCGGUCGCAAUAAAGCGAUUUCAUUAUCAAGGAUGGGAAGCGUUCAACAAGGAAAUCGAAUUGCUAUGCCAGCUUCGUCACCCUAGAUGUGUUUCUCUUAUAGGAUUCUGCAACCACCAAAAUGAGAAGAUUCUUGUAUACGAGUACAUGUCCAAUGGAUCUCUAGAUAAACACCUACAUGAUGGUGAACUAUCAUGGAAGAAGAGGCUAGAGAUCUGCAUAGGAGUAGCACGUGGACUACACUACCUUCACACUGGUGCCAAGCGUUCCAUCUUUCACUGUAUCCUCGGUCCUAGUACCAUCCUUUUGGAUGACCACAUGGAGCCAAAACUCGCUGGUUUCGGUGUUAGCGUGCAGGGAUCACGUUUUAUGUCAAAGCAGAAGCAAAUCAAUGUAGAUCAUAUUUUGGGUAAAUUUUGUUUUGUUGUAUGAGUUCACUCACUGCAAUGAAUUUUUGUGGAUCAAACUAAGCCAAUACUCUUUGUUGUAGGUACUUGGGGCUACCCGGCUACGGACUAUAUCAUGGAUGGUACCAUCACAGCUAAAUGGGAUGUUUUCACAUUUGGUUUCCUUCUACUAAAAGUUGUGUCCAGGGGGAUGUUUUAUUUAAUAAGCCUGACUGAAAAAGAAUGUCUGGAGAAUCCUGUUGAGGAGAGAAUUGAUCCGAUUAUCAAAGGAAAGAUUGCACCAGAUUGUUGGCAAUUGUUUGUAGAUAUGAUGGUAACUUGCUUGAAGUAUGAACCAGAUGAGAGACCAACAAUUGGUGAAGUGGAGGUGCAACUUGAGCAUGCUCUAUCAAUGCAGGAACAAGCUGAUAUCACAAACUCCAACUCUGAGUAUACCUUACUGUCCAAAACCAUUAUUUCCCUGGGAGUGAAACAAUUUGAUACUAAAGAAAUGUAAGUGACCAGGUCACUGAAAUUGAGUUUAGUGUUUUUAGUCAAAACAGUUAGAGUAAGCUGAAAUUAGUUUAGAACGUGUAGCUUUUUCUGUGAUACAUGCUUCCAGCAUUUUCUAUUUUUAUGUCAUAGAAUUCAAUGAUAUGUUAUAAUUAUUUAGAUUUGUUAAAUGUUGUAAUAUCGAACAUGAGUUGUCAAAAUAGGUUUUUCGUUGUAACAGAGGCUGUCAUCUAUAAUCGUGUAUUAGUAACUAACUAGUAGUGAUAGAAACUCCUUGCUGGUCCAGGCUUUAAAUUGUUCUAUCUACUGUCUCUGUGUUAGCCUAGUUGGAAUUACUUGCCACCAACAUUUUCCCCUUAUACUAACUUUAAGUAUUAAAGUAAAUGCUUGAUCUUUUUUAAGGCAUCUGGUCGAACCCACAUUACUUACAGCUGAUCUUUUCAAUUUUAAAAAUCUUCAGUGAAAUUUAAUAACUAUAUUAACAACAGAAAAGUCAAUUUGUAACAUGUCCCAGUAGCAUACAUUUUAAAAAUGUGUGACCAUUAAAUAAAGUACUUAAACUCUUGUCUUUAGUUUUGAUUUUUUUAAUGAAUAAAAUUAUAUGUAUAUAAAAUUUUAACAGUCUUACCUUGGAAGUACCCGAAUUUGCUUAACUGUGAAAAUUGAAGGGAAGUAGAGGUGAAAGAUGCUUCAAGUAUGAACCUGAUAAAAGACCAACUUUGAGUGAAGUAGAAGUGGAACUUCAGCAUGAUCUGUAGCAGGAACAAACUGAAAUCACAAACACCAAUGCUGAUGAUUAUAAACCCCCCAAAAUAAAAAACUUAUUGUUCAAAACCAUUAUUUCACCCUCCAACUUUAUGAGAACUUCUAAGAAAAAAUAUUUUAGUUCUAGAAAAGUUUACUUAUAUAAGUUGAUUUUAACUUUGAUUUAGUUUACCUUCUUAAUUCAUUAAUUAAUUGUAUUCUUUUUUCCUAUAAAUAAAUUUUGGGGGUAAUCUUUGUCUGUCUUUUUUAUAAGAAAAAAAAGGAAGGAAAAAACUACCUGUAACACAAUGUUUCCACAAAGGCAUUGGGAAUUGGCUCAACAGCAAUCCAUUCCCCAUCUUUCCAAUACUCAACCACAUCUUUGGUGGCUCUUCCACUAUUUGUGUAGAGCUUGCACCUUCCAUUUGGAUCCUUAGUGUCGUUUAUCUUUUCAUCCUCAGGCAUGCCAUGGAAUUCUUUUGAAAAUAUUGCGUGUAGCAUCCACUAUAUCCUUAGAAACUCUAUGGUUGAUAACCUAGCUAGUUUAUCACAGUUUCAGAUUAACCAGAUAUACAUACAAGCACACAAAAUCAAGGCCAAACAUCUAAGACUAUAUAAAAUGUGUAGUAUUUCUCAUAAGAAAUCAUUUAUUGUCCACACCAAGUUAUAUAUAUCAGAAAACACCAAAGAUAUAUGCAUGAUAUGUAAUUACUCUACAUUUGCAAGAAAUGGGAGAUUCCAACUCUACAAACAUGUGUGUUCAACCAAUAUUCAUCAUGUCAUGCAUGAGAAACACGUGUGGUGAAUUAGAAGAAAGUAAAGCAAGGAAAUGAGUGAAUAAACAAUAUGAAGCUGGAAAAAGCCUUAUGACAUCAUUAUCAGGUCUUCUUUCUGGUGGUUGCACAUAUGAUGAUGGCACCAAAGAAUGAAAAUUGUACCAGCUAGACACAAGCUUCUCAGCCAUGAUUUUUAAGACAGAAUGAGUGGCACAGAUGCUGUUAGGAACUAUAGUAACAGAAAAAUGCUAAAUGAUUACACACAAAUUUAUAGGUAGAUUGGAUGCCACUGCAAAAGAAAAAACAAACAAAUAUAACCAUUUGAAGUAAUAAAAAAUUGUAUUGCAUUAUAAAACAAAAUUUACACGAGAGUCUUUAAAAUAAUAUAGUAUAAUAGAACAAUUGGAAGUGGAGAUUUCUGUCGUUGAUGGGAAGAAUAUGUAUAAUUAAAUCAGUUUUAACUGGUAUUCCUCUAUUCUAAUUUAUCCUUUUUUAAAGUCCCGGAGUCGGUUUAGGCUUGGGGAGGGAGAGCAGGUCAAUCUCUUGAGUAAACCAGUGGAGGCAGACGGUUUGGGAGUUAAAGAUAUAAGAAAGUUCAAUGGAGUUCUUCUAGCUAAAUGGAAUUGGCGAUUUGUAGGUGAAGAAAAAGGGCUGUGGAAGGAUAACCUAGUAUCUAAAUACGGUCUGGAUUCAGGUCGUAACCAACCUCUUUUGAAAAAUCAAUCCAGGUGGUGGAGAGAUUUAUCUAAACUAUGUGACCAAGGGGAUGAGAAGGGUGGUUCUAAGAAGCUCUAGAAUGGAAAGUGGGUUGUGGAGACAAAGUUAGAUUCUGGGAGGACGUUCGGAUGGGCGAAAAUAAACUUAGUUCUGUAUAUCCUAGGUUGUUCACCCUUUCAUAGGAUUAGGGGCUAACGGUGAGCGAGGUGGGCGUAUGGGAAGACUCGGCUUAGAUAUGGAAACUAAGAUGGAGGAGGGUCAGGUUUGAAUGGGAAGUUGUGUAAGAAGCAGGAAUGCUUUGGUCUUUGUUAGGGGGCACUCUGAAUAGGGAGGCAAAGGACACACUAGUGUGGGGAGGGAAUGCAACAGGAAGGGUUCUUUGUGAAGUCAGCUUAUGAACGUUUAUCUAACUCUUACAUAAGUCCUCCUAACGGGGUGUUCAAACAGUUGUGGCAGUCUAAAGCAAUGCUCAAAGUCUGGACAACUGCUUGGAGGGUCCUGUUGGAUAGAAUUCCAACUCGUUCCGGCUUAAUCAGGAGAGGAGUGUUGGUUAAUUCAACUAGUUGUGCUCUUUGCCAAGCUGAGGACGAGAUUGUUCAACAUCUAUUUAUAGAGUGUCCCAUAGGACAAAGAGUGUGGUCUCUCUGCUUUAAGUGGGUAGGUAUCCUGUUCUUACAACAUAAGUUACUUCGAGAACUUCCCCUUAGAAGAGUUGAGUUCAAAGCAGAACUUGGUCUGGAAAAUUAUGUGGGGGACAAUGGUGAGACGACUAUGAGAACAAAGAAACUCUAUUAUUUUUAAGAAGGGUUCCUGAUGCGGAAGAAAUCUUUCAUAUGACACAGCUUAAUUCAUGGUUGUGGUUUGAAACAUAAGACUCGCUCUUUCAAUUAUUCUUUCUCGGAUUGGCCUAAAUCUGAUCCUAUCCAUCAAAAGUCAAAUGUAAAAGGAGGGGAAGCCUGUUUGGGAGUGCAGUCAGUCGGCUAAAUGAAGUUUGAGAUGGGAGGACAAGGCAGAGGAAGGAAUAGUAGAGAUAGUGCAGAUCAUCAAGCAGGGAGAUGUAGNNNNNNNNNNNNNNNNNNNNNNNNNNNNNNNNNNNNNNNNNNNNNNNNNNNNNNNNNNNNNNNNNNNNNNNNNNNNNNNNNNNNNNNNNNNNNNNNNNNNNNNNNNNNNNNNNNNNNNNNNNNNNNNNNNNNNNNNNNNNNNNNNNNNNNNNNNNNNNNNNNNNNNNNNNNNNNNNNNNNNNNNNNNNNNNNNNNNNNNNNNNNNNNNNNNNNNNNNNNNNNNNNNNNNNNNNNNNNNNNNNNNNNNNNNNNNNNNNNNNNNNNNNNNNNNNNNNNNNNNNNNNNNNNNNNNNNNNNNNNNNNNNNNNNNNNNNNNNNNNNNNNNNNNNNNNNNNNNNNNNNNNNNNNNNNNNNNNNNNNNNNNNNNNNNNNNNNNNNNNNNNNNNNNNNNNNNNNNNNNNNNNNNNNNNNNNNNNNNNNNNNNNNNNNNNNNNNNNNNNNNNNNNNNNNNNNNNNNNNNNNNNNNNNNNNNNNNNNNNNNNNNNNNNNNNNNNNNNNNNNNNNNNNNNNNNNNNNNNNNNNNNNNNNNNNNNNNNNNNNNNNNNNNNNNNNNNNNNNNNNNNNNNNNNNNNNNNNNNNNNNNNNNNNNNNNNNNNNNNNNNNNNNNNNNNNNNNNNNNNNNNNNNNNNNNNNNNNNNNNNNNNNNNUGCUUAAGCCAAGGCUGAGGCUAUGUUGUUAACCUGUAAGGGCCAAGCCAGCAGGUUCUGUUCUGGUUUUUUGCUUUCUAUGCCUAUUUCUGUUUUAUGCAGCAAAAGGAACCUUGUGAGCACAUGGGAAGUAGUACAAAUAGCUAUGGCUAGAGAGGAGGUGGCUCAAGACUUCACCAGCAUAGACUGCGGAGCUCAAGCAGAUGUGAGAUAUACUGAAAUAUCCACAUACAUAGAUUCUUUUCAGAUGCAAAUUUGUUAACUGGUGUGAAGAUUCUUGGAAAAUUGGAAGUUCUUAUAAGGAAGUGAAGAGCUCGGUUUCUGAAGCAUGAUUGCAAAGUGUUGUGUCAUAGAAUCAAAUCACGGUGGUUUGAUAGCUGCAGCAGGAUGGAUAAAAAAACCUUUGGCUUUUGCUUUUGAACCUCGUCAAUACCUCUGUUGAGGGACUUUUGAGGUCUUGAAAUCACAUCAGCAGCAUAUAGGGAGUUACAUCAGAAGGGUGUAUGGCUGUUCUUAUGUAGGGGAUGUGGCCAAUCAAUUCUGCAGGUGCUGUUUUGGUGUAGGGUAAUCGGUGUAUGGCUGCUCUUAGACAAAGGAUGUGGCCAAUUCUGCAGGUGCUGGCUUCAUGCAGGUUAAUCUGAAGCAGGGGGUUUUCACCAAUUCUGCAGAUGGGAAGGACUCUGUGAUGUGGUCUUUUGGCUUUAAGUUUUUUCUGUGUGUUCUGUUAUCCUGGUUUUGGUUCUGUAGUAGAUACUAUAGAUGGUUUUGGACUAUAACAUGUUCUAGUAUUUGGAUGGAUUUUAGGAUUGUUCUAAACAUAGUUAGUUUUGUAUACACAUUGAGAUAUCUUUAAACUAUCUCUAUAAUUAUUUUUAAUUUGUACUGAUAAAAAAAAUAUAAUAGAGCCAUUUGAAGUAAAAUAAGUAAGAAUAAAAUUUGUUGAUAAAAAAAAAUAUAAUAGAACCAUUCGAAGUAAAAUAAGUAAGGAUAAAAUUCUUGUAUUGAAAAUGAUAUGAUGAUUAACAAUUUCUUAUAUUUUUACUAUUGAAUCUGGAAUUAUAUCAACAAUAGUGUUAAAAUAUUUUUAAAUACAAAUUUAUAUUUAAUCUUAUCCUUAAUCUUCUUUUUAAAAGGAAUUUUAAUGGUAUAAUUCUUAUUGCAUUUUAACUUUCUUGGUCUCACUCACACGUUUAUUAAAAAAGUACUAGAGGUAAUAUAUUCCUAAAGAGUGUUUUCAGUCUAGAAUUUUUUUUAAGAACGCUAUAUUUUUCAAAUAUUAUUGAAUAUUAAAUAAUUGAUUGUUUAUGUUCUUAAAAUAUUUUCCUUUCAGUAGUACCUAAAUUUCUUUUUAUUGAGAAACUUCAUCUUACUAAUAAAAAUGCAUGUAUUAUUUGAUUUCUCUUUCCAUUAUUAUAACUAACCAAAUCUUUGUUUUUGUUUUAUGUUUUAAUGAAAAAACUAGUUUUUUUUUUUUUACAAAUUUGUCCUUCAUGUCUACCUUUACUUUGUUUUUCCAUCAUCUUUCCGUCUAAAAAACCCAUCUUUUAAGCAAAAGAAACCCUAAAAUCAGAGAGAGAAAAAUCCCAAAGUCGACCCCGAAAGCACUGCAGUAAUCGAAAUUGCAUGAGAGGGUUGAAGAUAAGAAGCUCAACACCUGACCUUACUGAAGGAAAUUUAAAAAAUAUUUUAUAAAUUUUAUUAAUAGUAAAAAUAUUUUAAAUAAAAAAUAAUUUUUACUCUCUAAUGAAUAAUUAUUUUUUACUAUUUAAAGAUUCAACAGUAAAUAAUUGAGAAAGAUUUUACUUACAGAAUUCAGUAGAAACACAACAUCAUUAAUUAAAAACUGGAGGAACCUACUAAGAAGUUGUCUAUGUCCACUUCGUAGUCCAUAUUGAAUGCACAAAAGUCCUCCUAAUUCACCGUUUGAAAUAUGUAUGUGUGUGCCAAUGCAUGUAGGGACAAGGAACCAAUUUCGUGCAAGAAAAGGUGAUACAAAUUUUGAUAUGCUAUUUCUUAGGUGAUGAUAUUUUGACACUUUACAUCCACAACAAAAUAUUAAUGUUGGUUAAUGCUGGUGAACAUUUUGCAGUUUUGGUAGAUGCAUGUUUUGUGUGGUUUGUUGAUCUGCUCUUGGAGCUUAAAAGAUGAGGAUGUGUGGAGAUUUUAGUAGCUUUUGAAAGUAGAUUGGUAGUAGAGGUCGUGCUUCACUUUGACAAUAAAAUGUAGUGCACAAGGUUGUAGUUUUGGUAUUGUUGCAAUGGGUAGGGAGUUAGCUAGACUUCAAGAUUUUAGAUUGUUAAAAUUCCAGUGGCUAGAUAGCCAUCAAGUUUUUGGUUUGCUAAUUUUUGUAAAACCAGUUCUGUUUGGGUAGGGAUUGUUUAAAUAGUUUAAGAUUCUUGAGUUAAGUGGUGUGUCACUUAGUCUUACUUUGCUUUGUUGAUUGCUUAAACUAUGAGUAUUUUAUCUAUAAGGGCUGGAACAACCCUAGAGUGUUACAUUUUAUUCUAUUAAUUCAUUGUUGAUUAAAAAAAACACAAACAAAAAAAAAAUAUUAAUAUUUAUAAUAAAAAAAUUUAUAAAAAAUAAAAAAAUGUUCUUAAUGAAAAUAUAGGCAAAAUGCAAAAUGUUAAAACAAUUUUCAAAAUUAAAAAAAUUAAAAUUUUAAUAUUUAGUAGAGUGUAAAAUGGAGCAUGGUGUCAAAAAAAUCAUUUUUCUUCUCAAAUACACUUACACCUCGUGUUUUAUAAGUGUAAGUGUUACUCUAUGGGAAGAGCAAUGAUAAUUUAACACCUCUUGCUUUAAAUUACACCUCUUUAAAUGAUAAAAAUAUCCCUUUACAUUUGAUAACUUCUAUCAUUUGAAAGGUGUAAGGUGUAAGUAAUGCAAAAAUUGGAUGUAAAAAUAACAUGGACACGUAAGAAGAAAACGCAGCCUUAUUAAAAACUGCAGGGGAUCUUAUUUGGGGAAGAUUCCAACCCAACCUUAAAUAUGCAUGACAAGCCAAACGAUUGAGGAGCAACAUAGUUCAAUGUGUAUGGUAAGUGACAAGUGAGAACUACUUAAGCAAGAAGGUGUCACAAAUUGGAACUAUGUUUCUGAAUUGUGUGGGCAUGUGUUGUUCGAAGCCCACAACAAAUACAACUUCAUCUCAGAGACAGUUUCCAACGUUGAUAGAAGAGCUGUGCCAUCAAUUUUCUCUCACCGAUCUUAGGAAAGCCACCAAUAACUUUGAUCAGAAGAGAGUAAUAGGAAGUGGAUUAUUUAGUGAAGUAUACAAAGGGUGUCUGCAGCAUGAUGGUGCUUCUGAUUACACGGUCGCAAUAAAGCGAUUUGAUUAUCAAGGAUGGGCAGCGUUCAACAAGGAAAUCGAAUUGCUAUGCCAGCUUCGUCACCCUAGAUGUGUUUCUCUUAUAGGAUUCAGCAACCACGAAAAUGAGAAGAUUCUUGUAUACGAGUACAUGUCCAAUGGAUCUCUAGAUAAACACCUACAAGAAGGUCAACUAUCAUGGAAGAAGAGGCUAGAGAUAUGCAUAGGAGUAGCACGUGGACUACACUACCUUCACACCGGAGCCAAGCGUUCCAUCUUUCACUGUAUCCUCGGUCCUGGUACCGUCCUUUUGGAUGACCAGAUGGAGCCAAAACUCGCUGGUUUCGGUGCUAGCGAGCAGGGAUCACGUUUUAUGUCAAAGCAGAAGC